rnacentral:rRNA from 1 species
AGCAGCCGCGGUAAUUCCAGCUCCAAUAGCGUAUAUUAAAGUUGUUGCAGUUAAAAAGCUCGUAGUUGAAUUUCGGGGUUAGUACGCUGGUCGUGCCUUCGGUAUGUACUGGUGUUACUGAUUCCUACCUUCUGACGAACCGUCAUGUCAUUAAUUUGGUGUGGCGGGGAAUCAGGACUGUUACUUUGAAAAAAUUAGAGUGUUUAAAGCAGGCUCGCUCUUGAAUACAUUAGCAUGGAAUAAUGAAAUAGGACGUUCGAUUCUAUUUUGUUGGUUUCUAGGAUUGACGUAAUGAUUAAUAGGGAUAGUUGGGGGCAUUAGUAUUCAAUUGUCAGAGGUGAAAUUCUUGGAUUUAUUGAAGACUAACUACUGCGAAAGCAUUUGCCAAGGAUGUUUUCAUUAAUCAAGAACGAAAGUUAGGGGAUCGAAGACGAUCAGAUACCGUCGUAGUCUUAACCAUAAACUAUGCCGACUAGGGAUCGGAUGAUGUUAAUUUUUUAAUAACUCAUUCGGCGCCUUACGGGAACCU